UUAAAUGCUGAGAAGCAGAGGGUGGGCUGAGAAGGAGCAAAUUUUACCGAGAAUACCAGUUUAUUCAGGGGAAGAAAUUUGAAGGCCAGCAGUGGAAAACUUCCACACCAAAAAGAGUCUUUCUGCCAUCAUUUCUUCCAUUUCCUCUCAGUGAUUCCUAAGCAGAGGCUAAUCUCUGUGAAGCACCUGCAAGCAGCCAUCUUCUUAAGCCAAGAAAUCCACCAAAGGAUAUUGGAUAUUGAAUUUCACUGGCCCACGAUAAGGAGGUAGAGACUUAUGAUAUCAGAUAGCAGAAGAAUGACUUCAAGCCAGCGUACUGAAGCAAAAGCAACUGCAUGUGGCUGAAGAGCAUGGAACAGUGCUGAAAGGAGGAGAUUUAACUUGUAAUCUCUAAGCAAGAUAAAGAAAGUCUAAAGGCCAGGAAUCAUUAGUCCAUGACCUAUACAUAAUAGGCACUGAUGCUCAUCAAAGUUAGAUCUUGUGGAACUGCUUUCACCUUUAAUGAAAACAAACAUUCCUUUGUUGACCUCCAGACAUUCAGGCUGAGUAAAGGAUGUCCCAGUACUUCUGCACCCAUAGUCCAGUGACUGCACAGCUAGGGCAGAAAAUCCCAGCUGGGGCUGCUCCCAGGCCACACUGGAAGGGAGGUGGCCAGCUUCUGCCAGGGACUCAUACGACCCUUCUCAGCCAACUAUGCUGCAAACACGAGGACCAAGGAAAUCUGGCUUUAUCAAAGACUGAAUUUAGUAUCUUCAGCGCUCACCCUAUAGGACCAUGCUCUGUUUACUGCACAUCAGAUACAGAACACAAAAUUAUUCACCUUCCCAUGAGCUUCUUCUUAUGGAAUUUGUUUAGGUGCUCAACUUAAAUUGUAAUUAUCUGUGUGCUGUUUUGCCAGCAGUAACAAACUGGGAAGGGAAAAAAGGAGGAAUCUGUAACUUGCUCGAAAAAUAUGGCUACCUAGUAAACUUCUGUCAGGGAAUAUUUACCUUCAGCUACCCCCAACCCAGCUUGUCUUUUUAUCAGACAUUACCUUUCUUAGCUCUAGCCCUAGCUAAGGAAUAUCUGGUUUCCAAUCCAGUCUAGACUGACACAUCAUUUUUCAGUAAUACAUUCUGUAU
rnacentral:lncRNA from 7 species